UUCCGGUUGAUCCUGCCGGAGGUCACUGCUAUCGGUGUUCGACUAAGCCAUGCGAGUCAAAUGUUCUUCGUGAACAUGGCGUACUGCUCAGUAACACGUGGAUAACCUGCCCUUAGGUCUGGCAUAACCCCGGGAAACUGGGGAUAAUUCCGGAUAGAUUAUAGAUGCUGGAAUGCCCUGUAAUCCAAAGCUUUUGUGCCUAAGGAUGGGUCUGCGGUCUAUCAGGUUGUAGUGGGUGUAAUGUACCUACUAGCCUACGACGGAUACGGGUUGUGGGAGCAAGAGCCCGGAGAUGGAUUCUGAGACAUGAAUCCAGGCCCUACGGGGCGCAGCAGGCGCGAAAACUUUACAAUGCGGGAAACCGCGAUAAGGGGACACCGAGUGCCAGCAUCCUAUGUUGGCUGUCCAUAUGUAUAAAUCACAUGUGUUAGCAAGGGCCGGGCAAGACCGGUGCCAGCCGCCGCGGUAACACCGGCGGCCCGAGUGGUGGCCACUAUUAUUGGGUCUAAAGGGUCCGUAGCCGGUUUGGUCAGUCUUCCGGGAAAUCUGACGGCUCAACCGUUAGGCUUUCGGGGGAUACUACCAGGCUUGGGACCGGGAGAGGUAAGAGGUACUACGGGGGUAGGAGUGAAGUCCUGUAAUCCCUGUGGGACCACCAGUGGCGAAGGCGUCUUACCAGAACGGGUCCGACGGUGAGGGACGAAAGCUGGGGGCACGAACCGGAUUAGAUACCCGGGUAGUCCCAGCUGUAAACUAUGCUCGCUAGGUGUCAGGGACGGUGCGACCGUUUCUGGUGCCGCAGGAAAGCCG
rnacentral:rRNA from 1 species